AUUGAACGCUGGCGGCAUGCCUUACACAUGCAAGUCGAACGGUAACAGGUCUUCGGAUGCUGACGAGUGGCGAACGGGUGAGUAAUACAUCGGAACGUGCCUAGUAGUGGGGGAUAACUACUCGAAAGAGUGGCUAACACCGCAUGAGAUCUACGGAUGAAAGCAGGGGAUCGCAAGACCUUGUGCUACUAGAGCGGCCGAUGGCAGAUUAGGUAGUUGGUGGGAUAAAAGCUUACCAAGCCGACGAUCUGUAGCUGGUCUGAGAGGACGAUCAGCCACACUGGGACUGAGAAACGGCCCAGACUCCUACGGGAGGCAGCAGUGGGGAAUUUUGGACAAUGGACGCAAGUCUGAUCCAGCCAUUCCGCGUGCAGGAUGAAGGCCCUCGGGUUGUAAACUGCUUUUGUACGGAACGAAAAGGUCUCUCUUAAUACGGGGGACUCAUGACGGUACCGUAAGAAUAAGCACCGGCUAACUACGUGCCAGCCGCCGCAGUAA
rnacentral:rRNA from 1 species